rnacentral:rRNA from 1 species
GACGAACGCUGGCGGCGUGCCUAAUACAUGCAAGUCGAGCGCAGGAAACUGACGGAACUCUUCGGAGGGAAGGCAGUGGAAUGAGCGGCGGACGGGUGAGUAACACGUAAGGAACCUGCCUCAAGGAUUGGGAUAACUCCGAGAAAUCGGAGCUAAUACCGGAUAGUUCAUCGGACCGCAUGGUCCGUUGAUGAAAGGCGCUUCGGCGUCACCUUGAGAUGGCCUUGCGGUGCAUUAGCUAGUUGGUGGGGUAAAGGCCCACCAAGGCGACGAUGCAUAGCCGGCCAGAGAGGGUGAUCGGCCACACUGGGACUGAGACACGGCCCAGACUCCUACGGGAGGCAGCAGUAGGGAAUCUUCCACAAUGGACGAAAGUCUGAUGGAGCAACGCCGCGUGAGUGAUGAAGGUUUUCGGAUCGUAAAACUCUGUUGUAAGGGAAGAACACGUACGAGAGGGAAUGCUCGUACCUUGACGGUACCUUACGAGAAAGCCACGGCUAACUACGUGCCAGCCGCCGCGGUAAGAC